GACGAACGCUGGCGGCGUGCUUAACACAUGCAAGUCGAACGGAAAGGCCCUGCUUUUGUGGGGUGCUCGAGUGGCGAACGGGUGAGUAACACGUGAGUAACCUGCCCUUGACUUUGGGAUAACUUCAGGAAACUGGGGCUAAUACCGGAUAGGAGCUCCUGCUGCAUGGUGGGGGUUGGAAAGUUUCGGCGGUUGGGGAUGGACUCGCGGCUUAUCAGCUUGUUGGUGGGGUAGUGGCUUACCAAGGCUUUGACGGGUAGCCGGCCUGAGAGGGUGACCGGCCAAAUUGGGACUGAGAUACGGCCGAGACUCCUACGGGAGGCAGCAGUGGGGAAUAUUGCACAAUGGGCGGAAGCCUGAUGCAGCAACGCCGCGUGCGGGAUGACGGCCUUCGGGUUGUAAACCGCUUUCGCCUGUGACGAAGCGUGAGUGACGGUAAUGGGUAAAGAAGCACCGGCUAACUACGUG
rnacentral:rRNA from 1 species